UACAGAGGUCUCAAGCGUUGUUCGGAUUCAUUGGGCGUAAAGGGUGCGUAGGUGGCGGGGUUAGUCAGGUGUGAAAUCUCGGGGCUCAACCCCGAAACUGCACUUGAUACUGCCUUGCUAGAGUACUGGAGAGGAGAUUGGAAUUUACGGUGUAGCAGUGAAAUGCGCAGAUAUCAGGAGGAACACCGGUGGCGAAGGCGGAUCUCUGGGCCUUACCUGACGCUCAGGUGCGAAAGCUAGGGGAGCGAACAGG
rnacentral:rRNA from 1 species